rnacentral:rRNA from 1 species
AUGAACGCUAGCUACAGGCUUAACACAUGCAAGUCGAGGGGCAUCAGGAAGAAAGCUUGCUUUCUUUGCUGGCGACCGGCGCACGGGUGAGUAACACGUAUCCAACCUGCCCUUUACUCGGGGAUAGCCUUUCGAAAGAAAGAUUAAUACCCGAUAGCAUAAUGAUUCCGCAUGGUUUCAUUAUUAAAGGAUUCCGGUAAAGGAUGGGGAUGCGUUCCAUUAGGUUGUUGGUGAGGUAACGGCCCACCAAGCCUUCGAUGGAUAGGGGUUCUGAGAGGAAGGUCCCCCACAUUGGAACUGAGACACGGUCCAAACUCCUACGGGAGGCAGCAGUGAGGAAUAUUGGUCAAUGGGCGCUAGCCUGAACCAGCCAAGUAGCGUGAAGGAUGAAGGCUCUAUGGGUCGUAAACUUCUUUUAUAUAAGAAUAAAGUGCAGUAUGUAUACUGUUUUGUAUGUAUUAUAUGAAUAAGGAUCGGCUAACUCCGUGCCAGCAGCCGCGGUAAUACGGAGGAUCCGAGCGUUAUCCGGAUUUAUUGGGUUUAAAGGGAGCGUAGAUGGAUGUUUAAGUCAGUUGUGAAAGUUUGCGGCUCAACCGUAAAAUUGCAGUUGAUACUGUCAGUCUUGAGUACAGUAGAGGUGGGCGGAAUUCGUGGUGUAGCGGUGAAAUGCUUAGAUAUCACGAAGAACUCCGAUUGCGAAGGCAGCUCACUGGACUGCAACUGACACUGAUGCUCGAAAGUGUGGGUAUCAAACAGGAUUAGAUACCCUGGUAGUCCACACAGUAAACGAUGAAUACUCGCUGUUUGCGAUAUACAGUAAGCGGCCAAGCGAAAGCAUUAAGUAUUCCACCUGGGGAGUACGCCGGCAACGGUGAAACUCAAAGGAAUUGACGGGGGCCCGCACAAGCGGAGGAACAUGUGGUUUAAUUCGAUGAUACGCGAGGAACCUUACCCGGGCUUAAAUUGCAGUGGAAUGAUGUGGAAACAUGUCAGUGAGCAAUCACCGCUGUGAAGGUGCUGCAUGGUUGUCGUCAGCUCGUGCCGUGAGGUGUCGGCUUAAGUGCCAUAACGAGCGCAACCCUUAUCUUCAGUUACUAACAGGUCAUGCUGAGGACUCUGGAGAGACUGCCGUCGUAAGAUGUGAGGAAGGUGGGGAUGACGUCAAAUCAGCACGGCCCUUACGUCCGGGGCUACACACGUGUUACAAUGGGGGGUACAGAAGGCAGCUAGCGGGUGACCGUAUGCUAAUCCCAAAAUCCUCUCUCAGUUCGGAUCGAAGUCUGCAACCCGACUUCGUGAAGCUGGAUUCGCUAGUAAUCGCGCAUCAGCCACGGCGCGGUGAAUACGUUCCCGGGCCUUGUACACACCGCCCGUCAAGCCAUGGGAGCCGGGGGUACCUGAAGUACGUAACCGCAAGGAUCGUCCUAGGGUAAAACUGGUGACUGGGGCU